rnacentral:lncRNA from 1 species
CUCUGUUCUGGGGAGCCUUGCUUCAGUUUUGACUGCUGAAAGCUCAUCAAAGCAGCGUGUUUCCAAUGAAAUGCUUCCAGCUCUGAGCUCGUUUCAGCAGAAAAUGCAAAUCUAACCAGCUACAACCCCAGCUUCCUUCCUCCAAGUCAUAUGGAAUAGGCACAGAAGAUUUAGUUUAACUUUGGAUAAUCAAUGACCACAGCCAGGCUGGAAGAAGAAAAACAAGUUGGCAGCUGUGACUAUGUGUUAAAAGGGAUGUUUAUGACUGGAUGAUUAAGAACAGCCGUUGGAAGGG